rnacentral:rRNA from 1 species
UGGGGAAUAUUGCACAAUGGGCGCAAGCCUGAUGCAGCCAUGCCGCGUGUGUGAAGAAGGCCUUCGGGUUGUAAAGCACUUUCAGCGAGGAGGAAGGUGGUGAACUUAAUACGUUCAUCAAUUGACGUUACUCGCAGAAGAAGCACCGGCUAACUCCGUGCCAGCAGCCGCGGUAAUACGGAGGGUGCAAGCGUUAAUCGGAAUUACUGGGCGUAAAGCGCACGCAGGCGGUUUGUUAAGUCAGAUGUGAAAUCCCCGGGCUCAACCUGGGAACUGCAUUUGAAACUGGCAAGCUAGAGUCUCGUAGAGGGGGGUAGAAAUUCCAGGUGUAGCGGUGAAAUGCGUAGAGAUCUGGAGGAAUACCGGUGGCGAAGGCGGCCCCCCUGGACGAAGACUGACGCUCAGGUGCGAAAGCGUGGGGAGCAAACAGGAUUAGAUACCCCUGGUAGUCCAGCGCUGUAAACGAUGUCGAUUUGGAGGUUGUGCCCCUUGAGGCGUGGCUUCCGGAGCUAACGCGUUAAAUCGACCGCCUGGGGGAGUACGGCCGCAAGGUUAAAAC